rnacentral:rRNA from 1 species
UACAGAGGGGGCAAGCGUUGUUCGGAAUUACUGGGCGUAAAGGGCGCGUAGGCGGCCUGCUAAGUCGAACGUGAAAUCCCUGGGCUCAACCCAGGAACUGCGUCCGAUACUGGUUGGCUUGAAUCCGGGAGAGGGACGUGGAAUUCCAGGUGUAGCGGUGAAAUGCGUAGAUAUCUGGAGGAACACCGGUGGCGAAGGCGGCGUCCUGGACCAAUACUGACACUGAUGAGCGAAAGCCAGGGGAGCAAACGGG